rnacentral:rRNA from 1 species
CCUACGGGGGGCAGCCGUGAGGAAUAUUGGUCAAUGGGCGGAAGCCUGAACCAGCCAAGUCGCGUGAGGGAGUACGGCCCUACGGGUCGUAAACCUCUUUUGCCGGGGAGCAGUGCCCAGCUCGUGAGCUGGGAUGGAGCGUACCCGGAGAAAAAGCAUCGGCUAACUCCGUGCCAGCAGCCGCGGUAAUACGGAGGAUUCGAGCGUUAUCCGGUUUUAUUGGGUUUAACGGGUGCGUAGGCGGGCCUUCAGGCCGGCGGUAAAAUUGCGGGGCUCAACCCCGCCGAGCCGUCGGAACCGGGGGCAUUGAGUACCGGCGAAGUACGCGGAAUGCGUGGUGUAGCGGUGAAAUGCAUAGAUAUCACGCAGAACCCCGAUUGCGAAGGCAGCGUACCGGCCGGUCACUGACGCUGAGGCACGAAAGCGCGGGUAUCGAACAGGAUUAGAUACCCUAGUAGUC